ensembl:snRNA U6 U6 spliceosomal RNA
UUGCUCUGGCUGCAUGUAUACUAAAGUUGGAAUGCUACAGAGGGCACUAGCAUGGCCCCUGCACAAGGAUGACAGCAAAUUCGUGAAGCUUCCAUACUUCGU